rnacentral:rRNA from 1 species
GACGAACGCUGGCGGCGUGCUUAACACAUGCAAGUCGAACGGAAAGGCCCUGCUUUUGUGGGGUGCUCGAGUGGCGAACGGGUGAGUAACACGUGAGUAACCUGCCCUUGACUUUGGGAUAACUUCAGGAAACUGGGGCUAAUACCUGAUAGGAGCUCCUGCUGCAUGGUGGGGGUUGGAAAGUUUCGGCGGUUGGGGAUGGACUCGCGGCUUAUCAGCUUGUUGGUGGGGUAGUGGCUUACCAAGGCUUUGACGGGUAGCCGGCCUGAGAGGGUGACCGGGCACAUUGGGACUGAGAGACGGACCAGACUGCUAAGGGAGGCAGCAGUGGGGAAUAUUGCACAAUGGGCGGAAGCCUGAUGCAGAAACGCCGCGUGCGGGAUGACGGCCUUCGGGUUGUAAAACGAUUUCGCAUGUGACGAAGAGUGAGUGACGGUAAUGGGUAAAGAAGCACCGGCUAACUACGUG